CGGGGAGUGGCGCAGCCAGGUAGCGCACCUGCUUUGGGAGCAGGGGGUCGGGAGUUCAAAUCUCCCCUCCCCGACCA
rnacentral:tRNA from 1 species